rnacentral:SRP_RNA from 1 species
GCUGGGCAUGGUGGUGUGUGCCUGCAGUCCUGGCAACCUGGGAGGCUGAGGUGGGAGGAUCACUUGAGCCCAGGAGUUUGAGGUUACAGUGAGCUAUGAUCAUGCCACUGCACUCUAGCCUGGGCAACAGAGUGAGACUCGGUCUCUA